UACUAGAGUAGCACUCGCAUAUCAAUAAGCGGAGGAAAAGAAACUAACAAGGAUUCCCCUAGUAACGGCGAGUGAAGCGGGAAGAGCUCAAAUUUGAAAUCUUAAAGGGUUUCCCUUUACGAAUUGUAGGUUUAAAGAAGUGUUUUCUGUUGAGGUUUUGGUAAAAGUUCUUUGGAAUAGGACAUCAUAGAGGGUGAGAAUCCCGUAUUUGACCUUUACUUUCAACUUUGUGAUACACUUUCAAAGAGUCGGAUUGUUUGGGAAUGCAGUCCAAAAUGGGUGGUAAAUUUCAUCUAAAGCUAAAUAUUGGCGAGAGACCGAUAGCGAACAAGUACCGUGAGGGAAAGAUGAAAAGAACUUUGAAAAGAGAGUUAAACAGUACGUGAAAUUGUCAAAAGGGAAGCGUUUGACACCAGUGUUGUUUUUCUGAAAAUCAAUUAAAGAACUGUUUAUGCUAAGCUGUUUAGACUUUAUCAGCUAUCUGUUUAGUUUUGAGCUUUUCUUUAAUGCACUUUUCAGUUAACAAGUCAACAUCAAUUUCUUUUGCUGUAAAAAAGCUUGAGGAAGGUGGCUUGAGAUUCGUCUUAAGUGUUUAUAGCCUCUUGCCUAUGCAGUCGGAGAGAUUGAGGUCUGCAGCGUAGAUCCUUCGGGGCUAAAUGCAUUUGUGCUAAGUUAUAGCAUUUUAUAGACAACUUGUUGACUAUGAUUUGUCUUGUAGCUUACUCACUUAUGUUAUUUUACCUACGCUUAGGAUGUUGAGCGCAUGUCUCUCUCU
rnacentral:rRNA from 1 species